rnacentral:rRNA from 1 species
UUGACCUCAAACAGGUAGGACCACCCGGU